UUCUAUAUAGUAUAGAAUUUUCAUCUAAUUAAAUUUUACUUUGAUCGAAUUUUUAUUUAUUUACAUUUUCAAUUAAAUAAAUUUUUGUUUAAUCGAAUUUUCAUUUUACAAAAGUUUCAUCUAAGAGAAUUUAUUUAUGUUUUAUAGUAAAUUUUCGAAAAAAGUAAUGGAGAAUUUUUUUUUUUUUUUUUUUUGUCAAUCAAAGCUCAGAAUUUUAUUGAUUGAUUUUUGUCGAGAUGUUUUUUUUAUAGCGGUAAGAGACGAAUGUAAAUGCAUUUAUAUGUGUGUGUAUAAGUCGUGAUUCGUGAACAGUGCGGACAAAAAACAUAGUCAUUUCGUCGGCUUAUUGUCGCUGUCAUUGAAGCGGUCGGUAAACAAAAGAAAAGCACACGCAUGCCUGAAAUUAUGACCCAUCCAAUUUUCCACCUUUUAAUCUGCACACAAAAUGUAUUUCAGUGGUCAGUCGUCGACCUUUGCCCCCGAGCGGGAUGGGGCGUAGCAGUUGCCUCAAGGCAUUUUGUCUUCUACCAGGCACCGCUAUUGGCAUAUGUGCUCGCGUGCAUCCCAUGCAACCGAUCUGCGUAACAGGUGCAGCUGCAGAGGAAACGGUCGUUAGCCCUGCAGCCCUUGUACAUAUACACAUACAUGCAUAUGUCUAUUAUGAUUUUUCGUAAUAGUUUCUUAUGUUUCCAACAUACCCAUCAAUUGUUUCGUCGCACGCUCUCAACAAGUAGACAAGAAAACAUAUGGUAAUAAUAAUUUAAUUAGUGACUCCGUUCCAAAAAUUCCCAAGGAAUAAGGAGAGAAAAACUUUUUUUUAUAACUAAGCAUCUGAACCUAAACACUUAUUUUUAUAUUAUUUUAUUACUUUUUAAAUUUCAAUUUAUUUUUUUUUUUUUUAUUUUUAUUUAGAUAUUCUUUAAUUUUGAUUUAUUUUUUAUGUUCAAAAAAUAAUAUUAUUAUAUGAAUUUCGUGAUUUUAUGACCAAAACAUCUAAGAGCUUUUUUGUUAUAAUCUACUCUUUUUUUUAUCAAUUUUUCUUUUUUUAUGGAAUUUUAAUUUUUGUUGAUUAGACUAAUUAUAUAAUUGGUCCAUACGAAAUUGUAUUUUUUGAAUAAACUUAAGGAAAAAAAAAACUCAUCUUAUUCAUUAUCUAAAAUAAUUGAUUUGUUUAAGUUAAAUAGAAAUUUUACCAAGCAUAUUGAUAAUAGAAAUUAGUUUUUAUUAAUUUAAUUUAAAAAUAUUGAGAACAAUUCUCUUGUCAAUUGAUAAUAAUUCUUUUAAAUAUUGUUAAUUAUUUUCUAAUAAAAUAAAAUAUAAAGAAACACUAUAAAUUCAGGUUGUAAGUAUUAAAAAUCAUCUAGGUGAAUAAUAUUGAAUAUUUUUAUAAAGCAAAAAAAAAACAGCGACAAUCAACAAUGGAUUAAUAAAAAAAAUGUCGCAUAUAAAUCAUACUAUUGAACUACAAUAAUAAAUUCUUCUCUUUCUCUCUCUUUCUCUCAGUGUGUCUUUCAUACAAUGAAAUGUAUAUAAGAUUACUUGUA